AUUUGGCAUUAGGCUUAAAUAGAAAAUUAUCAAACACAUAAAUAUCCUCUUUUUUCCAGCAAGCGUAAAUGUACACCUUUUACUUUCCCCAGUCACAUUGCACAUUACUAUUUCUGUAUCGAUUCCAUCGUGUGUGUGUGUGUGUGUGUGUGUGUGUGUGUGUGUGUGUGUGUAUAUGUGUGUGUUAGGGAU